UUCCCUGACUAGGAAGCAAAACUUGCUUUGGCAGAUGACCAGGAGAGCCCUUAGGCAGCUUUGGCCCUCGCUGCAGAGCAUCCCUGUGCUUGGCUCUGGCUGGCCCAGGCAACGAGCCCUUAAGGCACCUCUGAGAAGGCACUUUCGCUUUCUCAGUGGACCACAUCCCUGGAGCGAGAUCUGGCAGACCCCGUGGUGAUCAAUGCAGUAGCUGAACACCGGGAAGGAAUUGACACUUGGUGAUGUCCAGACUACUGGAAAAUGAGAUGGAGUCUCACUCUGUCGCUCAGGCUGGAGUGCAGUGGAAUGAUCUCGGCUCUCAAGAUCUAGCAAUUCUCCUGCCUCAGCCUCCCAAGACUAAUUCAACUGUUGACUCCCAUCAAUCAAAUACUACGUCAGGAACACAGAGAGGUGACUCCCAAGUUCUUAAGGAAGACAUUUCUUGUCAUAAAAGUCACGAAAGACCAGCUGGAAAAGACCUAUCUCGUCUUUAAAACUGUUUAUAUACAUUUACAAAAGAUUGGAAAGUACUUACAAGUUUUCUAAGAGAAAUACUCUAGAAUAAAGAAGAUGGAAAUCUCCCCA
rnacentral:lncRNA from 13 species